UUUACUUUUUUUUUUUUCUUUUUUUUUCAGAAGAUCGAUUACAGUGCAUCUACUAGGAUAUGAUUGCGGAUUCCACGGAGGACUCCUCAAUUCUUCUUAUAACCUUUGCUCUCUUGAAUAUAAUUUAUCCGUGAUUACACCGCACUUGAAUUCAAUGCUGCACUAACAUGAAUUAUUAAUACGGUUGGUUGUUAAAAAAAGGUGGCUGAAAUAGCACAGAUAUACGUCGGUUCUCGACAAAUAUAAAGAGAUUAAAAUCGCUGAAAGCUAAGAAUUUGCACAUUUAAGUCGUUCUGUGAUUUUUGUUAUCUUUAUAUUUCUUUUAUAUUUAUGAUUGUAAGAUUUUCGAUCGAGUAUGCAUUGAAAAAACACGCAUAAAUCUUUCGUGAAAAAGUAUUUUUAUUAAUGAAAAUCAGAAUACUUGUUAUUUAAUCGAGGAAAAGGAAGAUUAAUCGGAAUUUAAAGAUCGCCGCGCGCGAUACAUGACUGCUCCGAAAAUAUAUUUCGUGCCGACGAAUCGCGUUUCGCGUAUACUUCUUCAUCGCAAUAAAUAUAUUCGGUGCGAAGGAUACCAAGGAGAGAGGAGAAUAAAAAGAAUAUCAGAGAAAAAGACAUCGAGCAUAGCCAAAAGAGAUUAAUAUGCAAAGUAACGGAGCGUCGUUUCAUAGUCCAAAAGCUCGUACUGUACGCGUUUUAUCAUAAGGAAAAUCGAUUCCAACUGUCGUACAUAUUUUACUUCUCUCGUAUCUUCGCAUAAUCGUUGCGGAAGUUGCGAAAAGAAUAAAAGAAAAAAGCGGCCCUAGGGCGAGGAAAGAGUAAUGCACGAUUAAGACAAGCGGCGGACCCCGUUUGCAAUACUUUACCGAGAGCAAGACUACUCCCUCUCCCCCUGAAACCUCUCCCUUACCUUCCUAUCUCUUUUCUCCCCUUCUACCCUCUCUUUCGCGUCUAACUUAAACACGUCCACCCAAAUGUACACAUACAAACGCCGUCUGCAGCCCUUCCGACGACGACGACGACGACGACGACGACUAAUAUUCUCUCUCUCUACGAGCGAAUUCAAGAGUUGAAGAGGGAGUGAAACAUAAGAGGAGUAAAAAAGGGCGAGAGACAGAUAAAAGAAUAAUAAGAUAGAAAAGGAGGAAGAAGGUAAAGAAGAGUAGAAGAUAGUUGCAAAGCUUUUAAUUAUCGGUUGGAAGCAGACGCUGGCGUGGCUGAAAAUACGAAGCACAGGGGUGGUGGUAGUCAACGUAAUAAGUCACUAUAGGUUAGACCUAUAAUGAGUGCACAAUUAAACGAGUAUCAUAAUAAUGAACUAUAGAAUAAUCAACGAGUGUUAAAACUAAACUUUCGUGAGCACGGGAACGUGGCAAGUUCAUCAUCGUGUAUUAUUAUUCGAUUUGAAAGCGUG
rnacentral:lncRNA from 1 species